GGUUCUCAUAGUGGUGGAAGUGUAUUGACCGUGAAUACACGGGAGAGUAUAUCUACAUCCUCAUCAUAUGAUGAUGAGGAAGUGGUGUUUAGGGUUAAUUCCAUAGCUGCAGGAGAGGAUGACAACUGGGAUCUCAUCGCUUGUGCAAGAAACCGGUCGUGGCACCAACGAUUCCCCUAUGUCUUUCCAACCAAAGAGAUCGAAGACUUGCUGCAAAAAGUAGUACAUCAGCUGUUGAAUCUGUCACAGACCUUCAGGCAAGAACACCACCCUCUCCCAAAUCCGGUAGCGCCUGAGACCGGGGGCGCUAGCACUAAAGCUGGCAAGCGCGGCGGCGGCGGCAGCGCGAAGCCGCCGGCGACGAAGAAGAGGAGAAGCAAGCACGGGUUCCUGGGUGUCCACCAGCGCACGUACGGGCACCUCCCUCCGCUGCCGCUGGCGCCGGCGCCCGUGGUGAUGCCCUAUGCAGCUCCACCAAAGCGGCCAAAGAAAUGCAACACCGCCAUGGCACCGCCGCAAGCCGUGGAUACUCCGGCGGCGGCAUCAGGUGGCGUGGAGUUGACAAGCCUACUAUAUAUGCAGCGUGGCGGCGCAGGCGCAGGAGCGACGUAUGGGUGGGAGUUCAUCCAGGAGCUCCUCCUCCUCCUCGGCGGCGGCGUUCCGCCGCUGGACUACCCCAACGGCCAGGAGCUCAUCCUUGUCAUCGCCACCGUGUCACCCCUCCACCCAACCGAGUGCCGCCAUUGGCAUUCCCUUCCGUAG
rnacentral:lncRNA from 1 species